rnacentral:rRNA from 1 species
GUGGCUCAGGAUGAACGCUAGCGGCGCGCUUAAUGCAUGCAAGUCGAGCGAUGAGGACUCUACGGAGUCCACCAGCGGCAGACGGGUGAGUAACACGUGGGUGACCUGCCCCGAAGACGAGGAUAACGGAUGGAAACAUGCGCUAAUACUCGAUGGACUCAAAGUGUCAGAGCUAUGAGUAAAGCUACGGCGCUUCGGGAGGGGCCCGCGGCCUAUCAGCUAGUUGGUGGGGUAACGGCCUACCAAGGCAACGACGGGCAGGGGGUGUGAGAGCACGGCCCCCCACAAUGGGACUGAGAGACGGCCCAUACUCCUACGGGAGGCAGCAGCAGGGAAUAUUGCGCAAUGGACGAAAGUCUGACGCAGCGACGCCGCGUGGAUGAUGAAGGCCCUCGGGUUGUAAAAUCCUUUUCAGGGGGAAGAGGAAGGACGGUACCCUUGGAAUAAGCGUCGGCUAACUACGUGCCAGCAGCCGCGGUAAGACGUAGGACGCGAGCGUUAUCCGGAUUUACUGGGCGUAAAGCGUCUGUAGGCGGACUGGUAAGUUGGGCGUGAAAGCUCCGGGCUCAACCCGGAGAGGACGUUCAAUACUGCCAGACUAGAGGUCAUCAGAGGGGCGUGGAAUUUCCGGUGUAGCGGUAAAAUGCGCAGAUAUCGGAAGGAACACCAGUGGCGAAGGCGGCGCCCUGGGGUGGACCUGACGCUAAGAGACGAAAGCUAGGGGAGCGAACAGGAUUAGAGACCCUGGUAGUCCUAGCCCUAAACGAUGGAUGCUAGGUGUGGGGCCGACAGGUUCCGUGCCGAAGCUAACGCGAUAAGCAUCCCGCCUGGGGAGUACGGCCGCAAGGCUAAAACUCAAACGAAUUGACGGGGCCCCGCACAAGCAGCGGAGCGUGUGGUUUAAUUCGAUUACACGAAGAACCUUACCUGGGUUUGACAUAUGCGUGGUAGGGAAGCGAAAGCGGACCGACCUUUCGGGGAGCGCAUACAGGUGCUGCAUGGCUGUCGUCAGCUCGUGCCGUGAGGUGUCGGGUUAAGUCCCGUAACGAGCGCAACCCCUGCCCUUAGUUAUACGUGUCUAAGGGGACUGCCGGCGGUAAGCCGGAGGAAGGUGGGGAUGACGUCAAGUCAGCAUGGCCCUUAUAUCCAGGGCUACACACACGCUACAAUGGUCAGUACAAAGGGCAGCGAAGCCGCGAGGUGGAGCGAAUCUCAACAAAGCUGAUCGUAGUUCGGAUUGCAGGCUGCAACCCGCCUGCAUGAAGCUGGAGUUGCUAGUAACCGCGCGUCAGCUAUAGUGCGGUGAAUACGUUCCCGGGGCUUGUACACACCGCCCGUCACGUCAUGGGAGUCGGUAACGCCUGAAGCUGGUAGCCUAGCUCGCAAGAGGGGGCGCCAUCGAAGGCGGGGCUGGCGACUGG